ACGAAUAACGUUCUUGGCUGGAACAAAACAGUCGAAUAUUGGAGUGAAGUGUGUUUGUGGCGGGCUAGGACCACACUUAAUGUCCUAUGCCAUAAAUGCCGCCCGUGUGUUUUGCGAAUUUAUUUCUGUUGUGUUCGGUUGGUGGUGUUGUUGUUGAUUGAUCGAAUGUAAUAAUGUGGCAUCGAGACCUAAUUUUCAAGCGGGAAAUGUUAAUCGACAGCACGAAUCAACGGAAAUACGAUUUUUUUUUUGUGGGAGAGAAAUUAAAGCAUCGACGAUAAACUCCAACGUUACCAGAACAAAUACCCAACGAGACCGCCACACAUAAAUGCACCCAAGUAUACAAUCUCUGCAGCCAGCACACACACACAACAAGCUAUAUAUAUCGAAUACCACAAUAAAUUACUCGCUCUGCCAUCAGAUACAAGGAUUGGCAUUACGGAAUUGCAAUUUGUCUUCUACAUUUUCGUCUGAACGUUACCGCAGGAUUUUGGCUUUUCAAAUGGAAACGUGUGCAUGUGUAACGAUAUAUAUCGGUAUGGUGGCGAUAAACAAACACACACCGGUUACACGGGAGCACACACACACACACACGGUAGUGUAUCAUAUUGCGGACAUCUGACACAAAAUCUCUGAAUUUCGUUGACGGAAUUAUGAUUCGGCUCGAAAAUCUACAAAAUGCAAAACUUUACAAAACUUUAAAACCACUAACAUCAUGUAGCCGCCAGAAAUACGAAUUUCUCCGAGUAAAAAAAAGCGCACAGCCUGCAGCAUGGCACAAUAUGUUUUCCGGGCUAUUAGCAAAUUUCGAGUAUAAACAUGUCAGGUGGAAACAUUAUCAUAAAAACGGCAAAAAAAAGAUUGAAAAAAUAAGCGCAAAAGCAGCAACGGUUCUUUUUUUAUCACCGACAUCAUCAUCAUCAUCCGUCCGUGCCAUUUUCAUCAUUAUUCAAAUUUAAUUUUUAUUUUUUUCAUUUUGUUUAAAUAUCGUCGGAGGAUUUGUUUGUUCAGUUAAUUCAAUUAAUUACGGACGACACGGAAUGGAGGGAGUGGCAGACAAGUUUUUUUUUUGUGUUAACAUCAAAGUCAACGAAAGGAUUUCGGGCGAGUAGAUAAUUAAACUUCCGCAUUUUGUUUCUUUUUAAGUAUUUUAGGAAAAAUUAAUUUACUUUGUUGAUGAUCCCUUUACGAAACAUAAAGAGGCAGAGCCGAACUGGCUCACAAAAGCCCCUUUACAUACCACUUGUAAAAAGCCCAAAAACUAAAAAUUUCCCCUAGGAAAUUCACGAGAGAUUUCACGGAGAGCAAUGGUUACUUCAGUAUGGACACAAACUUUAAAAUUCUUUUAAUUUUUUGUUCAUGAGGUGUGGAUGUCACCUCUCAAAAUUAGUAAGAGUCGGGUCAGUCGUGUUUCAAUUUAAAAUUUGAGCAUACGACCGAUCGCCUAAAUUCAUUACGGAUACAUCAACUUCAAUGAUGUUUGAAACGUAAGACAUCACGACAUGGACAUGAUGUAGGUUUGCGUCUCAGCUUAGGGAAUCAUUGCUCUUAACACGACUUAGCAUUAAUACGAAAAAUUUAAAAUAUUUUCCUAACGUCAGUCAUAUUUCGAUUUGAAUUAUGGCCGACCUUCGUGGGACGAGAUGUUACAGAGAUGUCAGUUUCCGUUCUAAGUGGCUUUAUGCCGCUCGAUAGAAUAAAACCCGUAAACACGGUCGUAUGCGAAAAACGUAGAUGCGUUUAAGUGAUUCAGUAUGGAGAGUUAUUCGCAUUAACGAGACGGCUCUCCUCCCCUUCCAUUCAUGAGGGUGAAUUACAGAACGCUGGAAAUUCAUUAAAAUUUAUCAGAUGAUGUGACAUCGAAGUUGAGUUGAAUGGGGACCAUUUUUAUGGGUUUUUUUCCGUCUUUUAAUUUUUUCGAGUUCUGUUCUUAAUCGUCUGAAUGUAACGGGCACCGGUGAAAUUGCUCAAAUGUUUAAUUGAUUUUCAGAAAAUUAAGUUGGAAAUUUGUCUCACUGCAGCAUCAGAACUUAGUCGAAUCAGGAGAAUUUUCAGCGAAGAAUUAAAAGCUCGGGAUCAGAGUAAUGAACUAUCAAACAUUUCAAUUUUCAUCAUUUCAAACUACUUGGUCCGAGCCGAGCCCAUACAAACUCUAUUUCUCACAUUCUCUUUGCCAACAAGAAACAAGAAAAUAAAUCCGGAAAAAAAUAUGCAAAAAGCAUCACCCACACGUCCUAAGUUACCCUAAGUUACAAAACCACCCGAGCAAAGGGUGUUAAAAUUCACAGCCAUAAAAACACCAAACGUCUGAGGUCAUUUCCAUGGUGCGGAUUAAAAUGUUUUCGUAAGGUUAGGCAGAUGAAAUGCUAAGUAUUACCGAAACGAUGAUGGUAAAACAAUUCGAACGGUUGGAAAAUGCAUAUUUAUAAAUAGGGAAUAGAGUUAAGAGUUUAGGAAUUUAUGGAUAUUAAUCCGCUUAUAGGACUUCUUCUGUAGUGUGUGUAUCGUUUUAAGGUUUUUCUGUGUUUCGUUUGUACACUUUUUGUUCAGUAGUUCUGUGUGAUGUUUUCUCAUCUUCAUUCUUUGUUUGUCCAUUUUGUUGAGUGUGUUUAAAGUUCAUUCAUUGGAUUCAUCGAGACAUAGACUUGAAAAAUUAAGAAAUUCAUUUGGGUUGUGGUUGGUUCAUUUACUGUUUACGUUUACCACUUUGCAUUUGUUAAGUUUUUUAUUAUCAAAUCAUGGCUGUUCUGUUGAACGUUUUUGUUGUGUUUUGUUUUUAGUUUGUUGUUUAAAUAAGUUUUGUUCUCGUUUAACCGAUUCAUUUUUCGUUCAUUUCUCGUUUUCGUUCUAUUGUUUCUUUGUUUUUGUUUUUUUUUCGAGUUAUGUUUUCUGUCUUUUACGGCUUGAUUUUCAAUAAACGAGUGAAAAUGGUAAAGCUUUACAAACCAAGGGCAACUGAACAACAGUCCCUUUUGUAUUUAAAUUACCGUUCACUGGGAACCGUUCCCGCUUGUUAUGUAAAUCGCGUAGCUCUUAAUUUAAUGCUUCGAAUCAUUCGGUAUCAGAAAAC